GACGAACGCUGGCGGCGUGCCUAAUACAUGCAAGUCGAACGAGAAAUUCUUACACCGGAUGCUUGCAUCCACGUAAGAUUUCGAGUGGCGGACGGGUGAGUAACACGUGGGUAACCUACCCAUCAGAGGGGGAUAACACUUGGAAACAGGUGCUAAUACCGCAUAACAGUUUAUGCCGCAUGGCAUAAGAGUGAAAGGCGCUUUCGGGUGUCGCUGAUGGAUGGACCCGCGGUGCAUUAGCUAGUUGGUGAGGUAACGGCUCACCAAGGCCACGAUGCAUAGCCGACCUGAGAGGGUGAUCGGCCACACUGGGACUGAGACACGGCCCAGACUCCUACGGGAGGCAGCAGUAGGGAAUCUUCGGCAAUGGACGAAAGUCUGACCGAGCAACGCCGCGUGAGUGAAGAAGGUUUUCGGAUCGUAAAACUCUGUUGUUAGAGAAGAAUAAGGACGUUAGUAACUGAACGUCCCCUGACGGUAUCUAACCAGAAAGCCACGGCUAACUACGUGCCAGCCGCCGCCGUAAGAC
rnacentral:rRNA from 1 species